rnacentral:sRNA from 12 species
GCCCCGCCAACCCGAACUGUCACCCUUUGGUGGCGUUCCGUCCGCUCGGCCGGAUAGGGAGCGGGGCGCAU